rnacentral:rRNA from 1 species
AGCGAACGCUGGCGGCAGGCCUAACACAUGCAAGUCGAACGAAGUCUUCGGACUUAGUGGCGGACGGGUGAGUAACACGUGGGAACGUGCCUUUUGGUUCGGAACAACUCAGGGAAACUUGAGCUAAUACCGGAUGAGCCCUUAGGGGGAAAGAUUUAUCGCCGAAAGAGCGGCCCGCGUUAGAUUAGCUAGUUGGUGAGGUAAAGGCUCACCAAGGCUACGAUCUAUAGCUGGUGUGAGAGGAUGAUCAGCCACACUGGGACUGAGACACGGCCCAGACUCCUACGGGAGGCAGCAGUGGGGAAUCUUGCGCAAUGGGCGAAAGCCUGACACAGCCAUGCCGCGUGAAUGAUGAAGGUCUUAGGAUUGUAAAAUUCCUUUACCAGGGACGAUAAUGACGGUACCUGGAGAAAAAGCCCCGGCUAACUUCGUGCCAGCAGCCGCGGUAA